GUCCUUCUGAUUUUUAUUUAAGGUCUAACCUGCCCACUGAUUUAUUUAAUGGCCGCGGUAUUUUGACCGUGCAAAGGUAGCAUAAUAAUUUGUCUUUUAAUUGAAGGCUUGUAUGAAUGGUUGGACGAGAAAACUACUUUCUUUAUAAUAAAUAAAUUAAUUUUAUUUUUUAGUUAAAAAGCUAAAAUGUUGUUGUAGGACGAGAAGACCCUAUAGAACUUUAUAUUUAUUUUUAUAUUAAUAUUUUUAGUUAAUAAUAUAUUAUAUAUUUAUAAAUAUUUUGUUGGGGCGACAGGAAAAUUUAUUUAACUUUUUUUUACUAAUUUCAUUAAUUAAUGUAUCGACGAUCCUUUAUUAAGGAUAAUUAGAACAAGUUACCUUAGGGAUAACAGCGUAAUUUUUUUGGAGAGUUCUUAUCGAUAAAAAAGUUUGCGA
rnacentral:rRNA from 1 species